GUGCUUGCUUUGGCAGCACAUACACUAAAAGUGGAAUGAUACAGAGAAGAUUAGCAUGGCCCCUGUGCAAAGAUAACAGGCAAAUUCAUGAAGCAUUCCAUAUUUUU
rnacentral:snRNA from 1 species